GAUGAACGCUGGCGGCGUGCCUAACACAUGCAAGUCGAGCGAAAGCACGAGAAGCGCGCGCCCUUGCUGUUAGCGGCGGGCGGGCGAGUAACACGUGGAUAACCUUCCUAUAAGACUGGGAUAACUUCGGGAAACCGGAUACACUACUGGCUAAUACUUUGAACCGCAUGGAUCAAAAGUGAUUGACGGUCUUCCCGUCACUUUUAGAUGGAUCCGCGCUGCAUUAGCUAGUUGGUAAGGUAACGGCUUACCAAGGCAACGAUGCGUAGCCGACCUGAGAGGGUGAUCGGCCACACUGGAACUGAGACACGGUCCAGACUCCUACGGGAGGCAGCAGUAGGGAAUCUUCGACAAUGGGCGAAAGCCUGACGGAGCAACACCGCGUGGGUGAAGAAGGUCUUCGGGUCGUAAAGCUCUGUUGUUAGGAAAGAAAAUAUGUGGAUGAAACUGUGGACAUCUUGACGGUACCUAAUCAGAAAGCCACGGCUAACUACGUG
rnacentral:rRNA from 1 species